GUGUCGAUGAGAAAAUAAUUAUAAAAUAUUAAUUAUUUUAUAAAAUAUUUCUCGAUUAAUUUUUUUGAGGAUAAGCUCGGAAAAAAGUUAAGAAAUUUUACUAAUUUAGGUUAUUAUGUGGGCUUAAAAUUGGCCAUCGUAAGAGUUUGUUAUAAAACAAUAAUCCUAAUAUUUAAGAUAAAUAUAUUUUAUUCUAAUUUUUUUACAGAAAUAAAGACCUCAAUUAAUAAAUGCCUUAUACCUAUGCUAGGAUGAGUAUUAAAACUUUUUAUAUUUUAAGAAAGUUUUAUGUAUUUUUCUUCAAAAAAAAUAUUGAUUGAAUUAAAUUAGUUAAAAGGAACUCGGCAAAAUUAAUGCUUUCGCCUGUUUAUCAAAAACAUGGCUCUCUGAAUUCAUUUUUAUAGAGAGUCAGGCCUGCCCAGUGAAUAAUAUUUAACGGCCGCGGUACUCUGACCGUGCAAAGGUAGCAUAAUCAUUUGCCCUAUAAUUGAGGGCUAGUAUGAAUGGUUUAACGAAAGCAAUACUGUCUCCUUUCUAUUUUCAAGAACUUAACCUUUAGGUGAAGAGGCCUAAAUAAAAUUGAAGGACAAGAAGACCCUGUCGAGCUUAAAAGACACUAUAGAAGUCCAUAUAUUUUUAAAUAAAUUUUCUAUUAAGCUUUUUAGUUGGGGCGACUAAGGAACAAAAAAAGCUUCUUGUAAUAAGCAAAUAUCCAAGUUUUGAUCCGGUAAUAACCGAUUAAGGAAAUUAGUUACCGCAGGGAUAACAGCAUAAUCUCUCUUGAGAGACCUAAUCGAAAGAGGGGGUUGUGACCUCGAUGUUGGACUAGAAUAUCCUAAAGAUGCAGAAGUCUUCAAGGG
rnacentral:rRNA from 1 species